GAGAUUGGGAAGAACACCCGUGGCGAAGGCGGCCAACUGGACCGACAUUGACGCUGAGGCGCGAAAGCGUGGGGAUCAAACAGGAUUAGAUACCCUGGUAGUCCACGCCGUAAACGAUGCAUGCUAGACGUUGGAAGGCUUAGCCUUUUUGUGUCGCAGCUAACGCAUUAAGCAUGCCGCCUGGGGAGUACGGCCGCAAGGUUGAAACUCAAAUGAAUUGACGGGGGCCCGCACAAGCGGUGGAGUAUGUGGUUUAAUUCGACGCAACGCGAAGAACCUUACCAGCCUUUGACAUGUCCACUAUGGGUCUUGGAGACGAGAUCCUUCGGUUCGGCCGGGUGGAACACAGGUGCUGCAUGGCUGUCGUCAGCUCGUGUCGUGAGAUGUUGGGUUAAGUCCCGCAACGAGCGCAACCCUCGUCCCUAGUUGCCAGCAUUCAGUUGGGAACUCUAGGGAGACUGCCGGUGACAAACCGGAGGAAGGUGGGGAUGACGUCAAAUCAUCAUGCCCCUUAUGUCCUGGGCUACACACGUGCUACAAUGGCCGGUACAACGAGCUGCGAGGCAGCGAUGCCAA
rnacentral:rRNA from 1 species